AUGAACGCUGGCGGCGCGCCUAACACAUGCAAGUCGAACGGCACCCCUCUCCGGAGGGAAGCGAGUGGCGAACGGCUGAGUAACACGUGGAGAACCUGCCCCCUCCCCCGGGAUAGCCGCCCGAAAGGACGGGUAAUACCGGAUACCCCGGGGUGCCGCAUGGCACCCCGGCUAAAGCCCCGACGGGAGGGGAUGGCUCCGCGGCCCAUCAGGUAGACGGCGGGGUGACGGCCCACCGUGCCGACAACGGGUAGCCGGGUUGAGAGACCGACCGGCCAGAUUGGGACUGAGACACGGCCCAGACUCCUACGGGAGGCAGCAGUGGGGAAUCUUGCGCAAUGGGGGGAACCCUGACGCAGCGACGCCGCGUGCGGGACGGAGGCCUUCGGGUCGUAAACCGCUUUCAGCAGGGAAGAGUCAAGACUGUACCUGCAGAAGAAGCCCCGGCUAACUACGUGCCAGCAGCCGCGGUAAUACGUAGGGGGCGAGCGUUAUCCGGAUUCAUUGGGCGUAAAGCGCGCGUAGGCGGCCCGGCAGGCCGGGGGUCGAAGCGGGGGGCUCAACCCCCCGAAGCCCCCGGAACCUCCGCGGCUUGGGUCCGGUAGGGGAGGGUGGAACACCCGGUGUAGCGGUGGAAUGCGCAGAUAUCGGGUGGAACACCGGUGGCGAAGGCGGCCCUCUGGGCCGAGACCGACGCUGAGGCGCGAAAGCUGGGGGAGCGAACAGGAUUAGAUACCCUGGUAGUCCCAGCCGUAAACGAUGGACGCUAGGUGUGGGGGGACGAUCCCCCCGUGCCGCAGCCAACGCAUUAAGCGUCCCGCCUGGGGAGUACGGCCGCAAGGCUAAAACUCAAAGGAAUUGACGGGGGCCCGCACAAGCGGUGGAGCAUGUGGUUUAAUUCGAAGCAACGCGAAGAACCUUACCAGGUCUUGACAUCCACUUAAACUUACAGAGAUGUAAGGUGUGCUUGCACAAAGUGAGACAGGUGGUGCAUGGUUGUCGUCAGCUCGUGUCGUGAGAUGUUGGGUUAAGUCCCGCAACGAGCGCAACCCUUGUCGCAUGUUACCAGCAUCAAGUUGGGGACUCAUGCGAGACUGCCGGUGACAAACCGGAGGAAGGUGGGGAUGACGUCAAAUCAUCAUGCCCCUUAUGACCUGGGCUACACACGUGCUACAAUGGCGUAAACAAAGGGAAGCAAAGCCGUGAGGCCGAGCAAAUCUCAAAAAUAACGUCUCAGUUCGGACUGUAGUCUGCAACCCGACUACACGAAGCUGGAAUCGCUAGUAAUCGCAGAUCAGAAUGCUGCGGUGAAUACGUUCCCGGGUCUUGUACACACCGCCCGUCACACCAUGGGAGUUGGAAAUGCCCGAAGUCAGUGACCCAACCGCAAGGAGGGAGCUGCCGAAGGCAGGUUCGAUAACUGGGGUG
rnacentral:rRNA from 1 species